AACGAACGCUGGCGGCAGGCCUAACACAUGCAAGUCGAGCGCGCAUCUCGGGGCUCGCCGCGCGGGGGUGUGUAACGUGGGGACACGCCCCCUUUUUUGCGGUAUCGUCCGGGGAAUCUGAUGGUUAUACCACAUACCCCCUGGGGGGAAGAUUUAUCGGAGAAGGAUCGGCCCGCGUUGGAUUAGGUAGUUGGUGGGGUAAAGGCCCACCAAGGCGACGAUCCAUAGCUGGUCUGAGAGGAUGAUCAGCCACACUGGGACUGAGACACGGCCCAGACUCCUACGGGAGGCAGCAGUGGGGAAUAUUAGACAAUGGGCGCAAGCCUGAUCCAGCCAUGCCGCGUGAGUGAUGAAGGCCUUAGGGUUGUAAAGCUCUUUCAGCGGAGAAGAUAAUGACGGUACCCGCAGAAGAAGCCCCGGCUAACUCCGUG
rnacentral:rRNA from 1 species